ensembl:ncRNA lncRNA:CR45229 long non-coding RNA:CR45229
GUCCAGAUUGGGACUUGGCCGGGUCCAAAACGUGGAUCAUCCACUAAGCCCAAGACGUUGAGGCCAUGCAGCUGGAGAAAAAUAAAGUGCCAAAGGGCACACAUGGCACCGAGUUGCUUGGCUUUUGUGGCCUUUGUUUUUAGCCAUAAACGAGCUGUUUGUGUGAGUUACAACCUUCACUGGAGCAGGGGGAAUAUGGGCGAAUAUUCCAGAAAAAUAUACGUAGUUACGAAAUAUAAAUAAUUUAUAAAUAGAUUGAUAGU